UAAUUUAUAAAUUUUUUUUUUUAAAUAGUGGGCCUAAGCUAGCCCAAACUUUUUUUCUUGGGCCCUUAUGUUUGAGCCCGGACUUUUUUACCCACUUUAUUUAUUUAUUUAAAAACAUAUUUUUUAUUUAUUUACUUUUUUUAAUUUCCUAUCUCUCCCUUUUUUUUAAAAAAAAAUUUCUUUAGAUACUACUUCCUCUUUCGCCUCCCUCCGUCUUCUCCAUAUCUUUUUCUUCUUCAUUCAUUUUUGUUCUCUUUUUCUCUUUCUUCGUCUUCAUUUCAUUUUCUUUUCUUCCUCCUUUUCUUCUAUUUUCUUUGUCUUCUUCAAUUUGUUUUCCUCUUUUUCUCCUUCUUUCUUCUUCUUCUCUGGGCUUUAUCUUCUCCACAGUGAAGGCGUCUUCAUGGAGCAGUGGCUAUGGUGUCGCACGGCACUGUAAAAGCGUCAGUGAUGGCAUCGAACGAUGAUUGUCAAGUCGAUUUGGUGGUGCUAGAUUGGGUGAUAUGAAUUUCAUCGUGAACAUGCUGCAAAAUUUUAUCAAUUUUUAUUUUCUCGAUUUGCUCAAAUACGAUGCGGCGUAAACUCAAUCCCCCCUCGGGUUUGGUUUAUGCGGAUUUGACCGUAUUAGUUUACUAAGUUAAUACAAUACCACGCCAAUUGAAUUUAACGCUAAACAUGAGUUAGUAUUAAGUUAAUAUAAAAUAAUAUAUUAAUCUUAUGCUGUGCGGGAUACCAAACACACCCUUAGGUUAUAACAAUAUUGCUUAUAGAAACGCC
rnacentral:lncRNA from 1 species